CGCUCUGUAGUCUAGUGGUCAGGGCACCCGCCUGGCAAGCGGGAAACGUGUGGUUCGAUUCCCACCGGAGCAG